rnacentral:misc_RNA from 1 species
ACCCCUGACUGAGCGUACUGCGAGGCGGUUUCAUUGGACUCGAGUCACAGGCAGCAACAGCAACACUACAGCCAGUUUAAGACAAACACUGGUGCUGUAAACAUGCGUGUCAUCCACGAACCCCUCAAACACGGACCUAAAUGCCGGGUGCAGCUCCAUGUUCACCUGGACGGCUGUAUCCGCCAUGAGACCAUCUGGGAAGUCAUGAGAAGAAAGGGCCUGAAGCUCCCUGGCAGUGGUUCACUUGCAGACCUCAAGUUGGCUCUGCAGGUGCAGGAACCUGAAGAUCUUUUAUUCUUUCUGAGUGGCUUUAAAAUUUUUUUGCCUGCCAUUAAAGGAGAUCUUGCCGUCAUAGAAAGAAUAGCUCAUGAAUUUGUCGAAGAUCAGGCUAAGGAAUAUGUUGCCUACUGUGAGGCUCGAUUUUGUCCCCAUUUGCUUCUCCCAAAUGAUACAACUCAAUUCAGUGUGGUAAAAUGCUUGAAGGGGAAGUCUCGUGUAAAUGGUACUACUGAUACAACAACUGAAGAUGGUCCUGUCAAAGAUGGUGAGGUCACUGUAGAUUCUAUUUUAAAUGCUGUUCUGAAAGGGUUUUCACGUGGAGAGGAAGAUUUUGGCACCAAGGUUCGAGUCAUUCUAUGCUGUAUACAUGGGACUUCAGAAUGGUAUUGGGAUAUUCUCCGUUUGUGUGAGGAAUACCGUAGUAAAGGAGUUGUUGGUAUUGAUUUGGCUGGAUAUCACGAAUGUUCUGACUGGUCUACAGAAGAUCAGUCAUUAAAGGAAGACCGUGUCCUUGUAGAAGUAUUUGAAGCAGCAAGAGAGAAAGGGAUUCAUCGCACUAUUCAUGCUGGAGAAGCAGGACCUGCUAGUACUGUCAAAUUGGCUGUGGAAGCAUUAGGUGCCGAGAGGAUCGGCCAUGGUUACCGUGUAGUAGAAGAUGAGAGUAUAUAUCAAAUGUGCUUAAAGGAGAAUAUCCAUUUUGAAGUUUGUCCUCACUCCUCUUAUCUCACAGGAUCUAUUGGUUCUCUAAAAACCAAAUCAAAGAGACAUCCUGUCCUCAGGUUUGCUGAGGAUGAAGCAAGCUUCAGCAUCAACACUGAUGACCCAACCAUCACUAACACACAGCUGAUGGACGAAUACAAACUCCUUACCGAGUGGGGCUUUACAGAGGCACACUUCACACGUGCGAACUUUGAGGCUGCCAAUCACUGCUUUUUGCCUACAGUUGAGAAGCAAGUACUUAUUCAAAGUUUAAGGAAUGCUUAUGGAUGCAUGUAGAUGUUCUGGAGUCUGAGGAUGAGGUGUCUUAAUGGUAAAGUGGUCUCACUUCAUCUCAAAAAGAAUUUCCAAGCUGCAAUUCAUUCAUUCCUGCCAAUAGAGGAGAAGAAGGCUUUGGUGGAUCAACUUCAUGAAGCUUAUGGUAUUGUC